rnacentral:tRNA from 1 species
GGUUGUGGCUCAGUGGUAGAGUGAUUGCCUAGCAUGCACAAGGCACUGGGUUCAAUCCUCAGCACCA